rnacentral:rRNA from 1 species
UACGUAGGGUGCGAGCGUUGUCCGGAUUUAUUGGGCGUAAAGGGCUCGUAGGCGGUUCGUCGCGUCGGCUGUGAAAACCUGAGGCUCAACCUCAGGCCUGCAGUCGAUACGGGCGGACUUGAGUACUGCAGGGGAGACUGGAAUUCCUGGUGUAGCGGUGAAAUGCGCAGAUAUCAGGAGGAACACCGGUGGCGAAGGCGGGUCUCUGGGCAGUAACUGACGCUGAGGAGCGAAAGCGUGGGGAGCGAACAGG